rnacentral:rRNA from 1 species
GGCGGAUUUUUAAGUGAGAUGUGAAAUACUCGGGCUUAACCUGAGUGCUGCAUUUCAAACUGGAAGUCUAGAGUGCAGGAGAGGAGAAGGGAAUUCCUAGUGUAGCGGUGAAAUGCGUAGAGAUUAGGAAGAACACCAGUGGCGAAGGCGCUUCUCUGGACUGUAACUGACGCUGAGGCUCGAAAGCGUGGGGAGCAAACAGGAUUAGAUACCCUAGUAGUCCACGCCGUAAACGAUCGAUACUAAGUGUCGGGAGUCAUAUCCCGGUGCUGCAGUCAACGCAAUAAGUAUCGCGCCUGAGUAGUACGUUCGCAAGAAUGAAACUCAAAGGAAUUGACGGGGGCCCGCACAAGCGGUGGAGCAUGUGGUUUAAUUCGAAGCAACGCGAAGAACCUUACCAGGUCUUGACAUCUCCUGCAUUACUCUUAAUCGAGGAAGUCCCUUCGGGGACAGGAUGACAGGUGGUGCAUGGUUGUCGUCAGCUCGUGUCGUGAGAUGUUGGGUUAAGUCCCGCAACGAGCGCAACCCUUAUCUUCAGUAGCCAGCAUUUAAGGUGGGCACUCUGGAGAGACUGCCAGGGAUAACCUGGAGGAAGGUGGGGAUGACGUCAAAUCAUCAUGCCCCUUAUGA